rnacentral:lncRNA from 1 species
GGGAGUGUCUAAAAUAAACUAUUGAGGUUUGGAGAGAAAAUAUUAGAAUUGACAUACUUUAUGUCCUUUUUAAUUUGUAUUUUAUAUAUUUUGUAAAGUAUACGUAAAAAUAUAUGUAUAAAGCAGUACAUAUAUUUAUGUAUAUAUGUACACACACAGCUGGACGAAUAUUGGAAUUUCUUUUAGUGAUUGUGCAGACUUUAGUCUUGGGAAUCUGGAAGGGAUCUGAGAGAUCAUCAUACCCAAACCUUCAUUUUACAAAUAAAGAUUCUGCAGCCCCUGGAAGUGGAAAUUUCUGGUCAAAGACAUGUUAGCCACAGAGGCCCCUCUCUCCUAACUCCCAUUUCAGUGCCGUUUCGGCUCCAGUGUACUGCCUGCCUUCUUAAUGAAGCCUACUUGAGAAAAUGAGACCAACAUGGUGCUCAGUAAUGCCCCUGACAUAGCUGGGCAACUUAUGGGAAACUGUCAGACUUGUUCCUCCAACAUAGCACAAAUUUCAACUGUUGAUACGUAGAAUAGUUUCUUUUUUGGUGAAAAGUGGCAUCUGGUCAAUUUCCCCACUGCCAGUAGAGUCCGCCUGCUCUUGUCGCAUUCUCAUUGGCCAGCUCUCAUGGGCCAGCAUCUGCCUUCUUUUCCUGUGGAAAUUAAAUAGAAGGGCAGGAGAAAGGACAUAUUUGGUAAUGUUACGCUCCUCAGCUUCCUGCUCAGGGCUGUCUCAGCUGCAAAAUGUCAAGGGAAAAAAUAUCCCUCCAACUUGGAAUGAAUUCCAGACAGACCCUGAUGCCUGCAAAUUUGUCAGAGGGAGCCAAGUCCAGCAAGCAGAACAUGAAGAAGGCUCAUUAUUCGGCUUCAAGAGACGCUCAAAUAAUCAGACACUCUGGUAUUUAUGAUUUUCCCCAUUUCAGAUGGUCUGUAGUUCACAACGUUCCCCUCCCUUUACCGCUGAUUCUGAGCUUCCUUUUAAAUUAAACCUCAACAGUUAUAAAAAGACUCUCACAUUACUUGUAAGCCACAAGCACUCCUGGGAGACACCGUUCCUACAGGGCCGCUCAGUGCUGGAGAAGGGCGGUUUUUCUUGAUUUUUAGUGUGGGGAGGGCAGGCCAGGAAGUCAGACUCGCUUCACCUUGACCAUGCCACGGUCCUCAUCUAGUUUCGACAACUGUGCCAGGACCGCCUGCUACUCGCUGCAUCUGAUAUGAUGAGCUUUACUAAAAGCUGGUUAUUUCAUUCCGUUGACUUUCUUUUUCACUUUAGCUAGUUUUCAUCAUGGAGCAUGGAAUAACCAGAAAGUUUUUCCUGACACUCCUGGUUUGUGAAUACACCAGGACUGUUUGUAAGGUUGAGUUUUGGGGGAUCUUAGUCUUUUCCUGGCAUUCAGUCCGUUUUCUUUCUCUUUUAAAACCAUUGCCACAUGCUGGCAAAAAGGCAAGGAAACAGAACUUGUAAUCCAAACCUCAUUAAAUUGCUACAUACGCAUUUUCCCUUCUACUUCUUGCUCUUCAUUUCGAAAUGCCACGGCUUGUGUUUGUACUCGGUCACCUUGAAUCCUUAUUUGGGUUCUCCAACAGGCACGAGGGCAUCCAAAGAUCAGUUUUAGCAAGCAGUGGAAGUGCCCACAUGAGGAAUGGGGUGUUCCGUCUUCACAUGUGGUCUCCAUGAAUAAGGGUCUUCUUUCUUCCUUUUCCUAAACUGUCCAGCAUCUCAACUCUGGUUUUGCUCCUCAACAGUCUCAGGUUUGUGCUACUUCCAUGGUGAUCAACUGUUAGGUCAUAAACAUUAGAUUGUGGCAUCACCAAAUGAGUCAGAUGGGAGGAAGCUGGGCUGGAAAUACAGCUGCAAGCCUCUGUUGACAGAUGGAUGCCUUCUUAAUCACAGCCUGCGUGGGUAAAGGGAAAGACUGGCCUGGCCCAACCCCCAGCAUUGAUUCACAAACUCAGACUGCUCUGGAGGAGGCUGGGAAAGCCCAUCCUCAGGGAAUACCGCUUUGUCCCCUUCCAGGUCUCUCACAGGACAUCCACUAAGAGGAGGGGGAAAGUGAAGAAGGAAGCUCUUUCCGGUCACUUUUUGAGUGUCAGCAAAGAGAAAAUAGAGCUGCAGCAAGCUGAUCAGAAGUUGCACGUCACAGCAGCCUGACAAUCAAGUGAGAGAGGCUGCUACUGAUGGACCAUCAGUGACCAUGGAGAUUCUGAAUCCCUGAAGCACUUGACAAAAGAAAUCUUGUGGGUGAUGUGAAAAUCCACGUAUGCCCAUGAGAGUAUAUUGAGCGCAUGAAUGUGUGCUUAGUGUGUCAUUAAGAAGAGAAGUUUGUGAGCCACUGUUUUGGAGUAAGAAAUAGCACAGAAGACUUCAAUUUUGGCCUGAAAUUGCUUCUUUAGUCGCUGGCCAUCAGAUAUGUGGAAAGCAUCAUGUUUCACUUUGACCUAGAUUUGUAAUGACAGGAUGCACCAAAUUCCUUCACUGAAGUGAAACCUUAAAGAAUCUUUAAGUAGAACUUGAAAGUGUCAAAGGGCAUUUUACCGUAGUUAGUGUACAUUUCUUGACAAGA